rnacentral:rRNA from 1 species
CCUACGGGAGGCAGCAGUGGGGAAUAUUGGACAAUGGGGGCAACCCUGAUCCAGCAAUACCGCGUGUGUGAAGAAGGCCUGCGGGUUGUAAAGCACUUUCAGUAGGGAAGAAAAGCCAGAGGCGAAUAACCUCGGGUGUUGACGUUACCUACAGAAGAAGCACCGGCUAGCUCCGUGCCAGCAGCCGCGGU